rnacentral:rRNA from 1 species
CUACGGGGGGCUGCAGUGGGGAAUAUUGGACAAUGGGGGCAACCCUGAUCCAGCCAUGCCGCGUGUGUGAAGAAGGCCUUUUGGUUGUAAAGCACUUUAAGCAGGGAGGAGAGGCUAAUGGUUAAUACCCAUUAGAUUAGACGUUACCUGCAGAAUAAGCACCGGCUAACUCUGUGCCAGCAGCCGCGGUAAUACAGGAGGGUGCGAGCGUUAAUCGGAAUUACUGGGCGUAAAGCGAGUGUAGGUGGCUCAUUAAGUCACAUGUGAAAUCCCCGGGCUUAACCUGGGAACUGCAUGUGAUACUGGUGGUGCUAGAAUAUGUGAGAGGGAAGUAGAAUUCCAGGUGUAGCGGUGAAAUGCGUAGAGAUCUGGAGGAAUACCGAUGGCGAAGGCAGCUUCCUGGCAUAAUAUUGACACUGAGAUUCGAAAGCGUGGGUAGCAAACAGGAUUAGAUACCCGGGUAGUC